rnacentral:misc_RNA from 1 species
GUGCAUUCUGGGAUCAUUAUGGCUAUCAGCAACUAAACUGGCAAAUGAGCUUGGUGGGUGGCUGUUAGGCUGGUGUGUUUCGGGGAUGUCUACCGUAAAGGUGCAUGAGUGGUGUUUGGUUUGUUACGGGUGGUUGGCUCUUUGCUUGCGCAACAACUUCCACUUGGCAUACCUCUUCAGUCUUGUGUCAAUGUUUGUAUUGCAUUGAAUACACGCUGGGUUUGCUGUGUUGCAUGCCUAAUCGAUGGUAUCAUUUGAUGAAUUGAAGUUCUUUUUCGUCUUGUGUUGCACAUGCAAUGUGAGAUGAACCUUGAAGCAAGCUUUGUGAUCCACUCUUUUGAUGCACAUGCAUUGAUUUGGUGGCCCAUUAAUUGUUGCUUGGUCUCAUGGAUAUGGAACCUGUUGUGGGCAUUAUGAAUUCCUUGUUUGCCCUAGUUUAGCUUUUCUAAUACGAGUGUCUAUCAUGUUUUAACGUGGUAGGAUACAUCGAAUAUGAAUGCUACCUGGUUGAUCCUGCCAGUAGUCAUAUGCUUGUCUCAAAGAUUAAGCCAU